CAGCAGCCGCGGGAAUACGUAGGUGGCAAGCGUUGUCCGGAACUAUUGGGCGUAAAGGGCUCGCAGGCGGUUUCUUAAGUCUGACGUGAAAGCCCCCGGCUCAACCGGGGAGGGUCAUUGGAAACUGGGAAACUUGAGUGCAGAAGAGGAGAGUGGAAUUCCACGUGUAGCGGUGAAAUGCGUAGAGAUGUGGAGGAACACCAGUGGCGAAGGCGACUCUCUGGUCUGUAACUGACGCUGAGGAGCGAAAGCGUGGGGAGCGAACAGGAUUAGAUACCCGAGUAGUCCCUGUCUCUUAUAC
rnacentral:rRNA from 1 species